CCGAGCAAAGCAUGGGAAUACGGCGAGUGAGCGGGAAGAGCUCAAUUUGAAAUCUGGCUCCCUUCGAUUGCCCGAUGUGAAUUCUAUAGAAUUGUUUUCCGGGCCGGACCAUGUCUAAGUCCCUGGGAAGAGGGUAUCAAAGGGGGAGACACCCCCGUAGUUGAGAUGACCACCGGCGCUCUGUGAUACCUUUUCUACGAGUCGAGUUGUUUGGAUAUAA
rnacentral:rRNA from 1 species